GACUGGAUGCAGAAGUUAGGCAAUGGGGCUGAAAUGGGUGUGUUGGGGGGGCAGAAUGCCCCAAACAUAUUUUUACCCUGAAAUUCUUUGCAAAGGAGUGGGGGGGGGACACCUAAACUGUAUCUGCCUGAUUGAAUUGUUUUCUUGUUCGGAUGCUGUUGGGUCCAAGCAUCGCCUGGUGUAAUGGCAAGGUGCCACGUGCUGUCCUUCACAACGUCCCGCAGGUUAAGCGCCAGUGUGCCCUCUCUUUGAGAGGGAGUGAGGCCAGGAGUAAUUCCCAAGUCACAUGGACGUGUUGCCCCGCGUACUUGCCUCGCGUCUUAUUAAUCUGUUUCUGAGAGUUGAAGAGAGCACCCCUGAUCGGCGCCAGAAGAAUCGCAAGUCAAAAAGUGGGCUUGCAAAAAUCUUCCUCACAAGCCAUGUGGGCCCUUCGACCGAGUCUCCUCUUCUUCUUGGUGUCGCAGGCUGGACGACCCGGCUUCGGCUUUUCCCAGCUGCAUCGGUCCUGAGGUGCAGAGCAUCAGUGCUUGGUAUUUGUGAAAGUCUGCAGGGAUGGGGGGUUCCAGGCCAAAGAGGGUGAGCUGCCCCAUGGAAAGAGAACUCCACGAAAUGAUAACUCCUUGGCUCCCACCGUAACAUCUCAGAUAGGAACCCACAGAAGGAAUUCUCUCCCCACCCCACCCCCCGAAACCCUCUCCGGAAGCUGAGGAAAGACAACAUGAGCUUUGGGGAGCCAGAGCAGGAAGGAAACAUUCCUUUCAGGUACACGGUCAAGACAAUUCAAAUGUCAACUUCGUACCGGGUGGCGGUGGUGGUGACUGGUAUGAUUCAAGAGCUUGCAUCCUUGAAAGGAGAGAGGGGAAUUCCUUGCAUGUCAGUCUAAGGCCAGAAUCUAUCCUAAUGGCCAUCCAGAGAUGCUAGCUUUCUAGGUCCAUUAGGACCCACGUAUUUAUGGGAUCAGUAUCCAUGGAUUCACUUAUCCACCAUUUGAAAAUAUUAAAUGAAAAAUUGUAAAAAAAUACAUAUUUGUAAAUAUGAAGUUACAAGAACUGGCCACUGGAGAGAGCCAGAAACCAUGAUAUGUACAACUUUCACUAUUAAAAUUCCAUUCACUCUCAUCUGCAUUUUUCAACAUCUGUGGGGUGGGGGUGGGGCUUGGAACCGAUACCCCACAGAUCCAGGGGUCCUACUGUACAUGGAAUUGUGUUAGGGUGUGCUUUUCUGCAUUGAUUUUGAGCGGAAGU
rnacentral:lncRNA from 1 species